rnacentral:rRNA from 1 species
UACGGGGGGAGCAAGCGUUGUUCGGAUUUACUGGGCGUAAAGGGCGCGUAGGCGGUCGCGACAAGUCACUUGUGAAAUCUCCGGGCUUAACUCGGAACGGUCAAGUGAUACUGUCGGACUAGAGUACAGAAGGGGCAACUGGAAUUCUCGGUGUAGCGGUGAAAUGCGUAGAUAUCGAGAGGAACACCUGCGGCGAAGGCGGGUUGCUGGGCUGAUACUGACGCUGAGGCGCGAAAGCUAGGGGAGCGAACGGG